UGGGGAGGGCCAUAGCUCAGUGGCAGAGCAUCCACUUUGCAUGCAGAAGGUCGCGGGUUCAAUCCUGGCCUCUCCAG